rnacentral:tRNA from 3 species
AAAGAAUUAGUUAAACUUAUAACAUAAAUAUGUCAAAUUUAAAUUAAUAUCUUACAUAUUAUUCUUUU